UGUUGGCGUAGGUUCUAUAUGCACAAAAGCGAAUUUGAACUAUUUCUACCCAGCCAAAGAAUAAUAAGUAUUUCACAAUAAUGAGGAGGGCCAUCUUUGUUGCAUUCUUGGUUUUGUCUUAUAUUUUUAUAUUCCUUCUCGCAUCACCCGUUUCUGGCCAAGCCGCCCUAGAGGGAGCAUGUGAUUCAUUUUGCGAUAGAACGGGUAACUGUGUUGCGGAAUCAGUUGACACGGAGGGAAUGAACCUCACCAAGGAUGAUGAAUUAUAAAUUGGAUCGAUCUCCACAACAUCACGCACUAUUGUUAACAACGGUCAUUU